CCCCUAGAUGUUCUGGGCCGCACGCGCGCUACACUGAACAGUUCAACAAGUCUUAACCUUGGCCGAUAGGUCUGGGUAAUCUUUGAACGCUGUUCGUGAUUGGGAUAGACCUUUGCAAUUAUGGGUCUUCAACGAGGAAUUCCUAGUAAACGCAAGUCAUCAGCUUGCAUUGAUUACGUCCCUGCCCUUUGUACACACCGCCCGUCGCUCCUACCGAUUGGGUGCUCCGGUGAAUUGUUUGGACUGCGUAUUACGUAUCAGUGGUGUGCGGGAAGCUCUGUGAACCUUAGCACCUAGAGGAAGGAGAAGUCGUAACA
rnacentral:rRNA from 1 species